rnacentral:lncRNA from 1 species
CCCUCAUUUCUUUUCUACCCCUGAGUUUCCGUUUUUGCCCUUGGGAGUACUGCGGUUUAUAGAAACCGAAGGCGUUUGACAUGUUAAAAAAUUUCGGUAACUGCGAACCGAAAGUGGUAUUGAUAACUUUCGGUAGCUGCGAACCGAGAGUAGGGGUACUGCGGUUGAUUUUAACCGAAGUUGCCUUACAUAUGAACAUUUCCAGUCAGUAAGUUCGUUUUAUUUAAAAUACAAACCACAAAACUCUUCUCUUCCUUUCUUGCACACAUUUGAGGCCAACUUCAAAUCACACUUCAUCAAGUAAGUUUCUUUCCUUUUUCAAAUUCAUUUUUUGUUCUUCCCUCGAAAACAGAGCCUAUGAUAGCUAAAAAAAACGAAUUUAAAUCGGUGUUUACCUGAGUUUUGAGCUUUGGUGCAUGUUGAAUCCAUUAGAUGAUGCUCCAAUCUUGAUUUCAAGCCUCAAAAUCGAUCCAAAUUAAACCGCAUAAAAUUUGGAUCGGAUCAAAUUGAAUUUUUUUUAUUUGUCAUCCAAAAUUGAACCGAACUACAAAUAAAUUUAUUUUUGGAUCGUAUAAAUUUUUGCCUCAAAAUCGAUCUAAAUCGAACCGCGAGCACCCUUGCGCAUAACUACUUGAACCUGCCUAUCUCAUACAAGUACAGCAGAACAAUACCCAUUUUUUUCAUACAGUGGCAUAAAAGUACCACAGAUAGAGUAACCAACAACCACAAAUCAAUUCAAUUCACAAUAGAAAUUUAUCCGAUUUGCAUAGAAAAUCAAUUAAGGACGGAAAACGACGAACGAUGGUAAAUAACAAUGAACGACGGUGAUGACAUGAUGAUAGACACAGCUGGUCACAACGGCAGCCAUGGAUAUGCUUUUGGGAAGAUUUAUUUAUUUUGGGAAGGUUCGUUUGAUUUUGAGAGAGAAAGUGAAAAUAUAGGGACACGUCAGUUCGUGAACAGUUCGUGGGUAUUCUGUUCGCGAGAAAUAGCAUUAUUCUUUUACUUUUUAUUUAUUUAUUGGAAUGUUGCUCACCGAUAAUAAUCAUUAAAAUGGACCUGUCGUGUUAGUUGAAUCUACAAACAGGUGUUAAGAUUGGCUUUAUGGUUUUCAAGUUGCAAACAUGUCAUAAAGUUCAC